UUUGAUCCUGGCUCAGAUUGAACGCUGGCGGCAUGCCUUACACAUGCAAGUCGAACGGUAGCGCGGGGCAACCUGGCGACGGGUGGCGAACGGGUGAGUAAUGCAUCGGAACGUGCCCUGGAAUGGGGGAUAACGUAGCGAAAGUUACGCUAAUACCGCAUAUUCUGUGAGCAGGAAAGCAGGGGAUCGCAAGACCUUGCGUUCUGGGAGCGGCCGAUGUCGGAUUAGCUAGUUGGUGGGGUAAAGGCCUACCAAGGCGACGAUCCGUAGCGGGUCUGAGAGGAUGAUCCGCCACACUGGGACUGAGACACGGCCCAGACUCCUACGGGAGGCAGCAGUGGGGAAUUUUGGACAAUGGGCGGAAGCCUGAUCCAGCCAUGCCGCGUGAGUGAAGAAGGCCUUCGGGUUGUAAAGCUCUUUCGGUGGGGAAGAAAUUGCACGGGCGAAUACCCUGUGUAGAUGACGGUACCCGACUAAGAAGCACCGGCUAACUACGUGCCA
rnacentral:rRNA from 1 species